rnacentral:rRNA from 1 species
CCUACGGGAGACAGCAGUGGGGGAUAUUGCACAAUGGGGGGAACCCUGAUGCAGCGACGCCGCGUGGGUGAAGAAGCGCCUCGGCGCGUAAAGCCCUGUCAGCAGGGAAGAAAAUGACGGUACCUGAAGACGAAGCCCCGGCUAACUACGUGCCAGCAGCCGCUGUAAUACGUAGGGGGCAAGCGGUAUCCGGAUUUACUGGGUGUAAAGGGGGCGCAGACGGCGAUGCAAGCCAGGAGGGAAAGCCCUGGGCCCAACCCCGGGACUGCUCUUGGAACUGCGUGGCUGGAGUGCAGGAGGGGCAGGCGGAAUGCGUGGUGUAGCGGUGAAAUGCGUAGAUAUCAGGAAGAACGCCGGUGGCGAAGGCGGCAUGCUGGCCUGCAACUGACGUUGAGGCACGAAAGCGUGGGGAGCAAACAGGAUUAGAUACCCUUGUAGUC